rnacentral:rRNA from 1 species
UACCAGCACCCCCGAGUGGUCGGGACGAUUAUUGGGCCUAAAGCAUCCGUAGCCGGUUUUACAAGUCCCCCGUUAAAUCCAGCUGCUUAACAGAUGGGCUGCGGAGGAUACUAUAAGACUAGGAGGCAGGAGAGGCAAGCGGUACUCAGUGGGUAGGGGUAAAAUCCGUUGAUCCAUUGAAGACCACCAGUGGCGAAGGCGGCUUGCCCAGAAUGCGCUCGACGGUGAGGGAUGAAAGCUGGGGG